CCCAUUACGUAUGUACGUCCUCAUAAAUAUGAUGAUCAGAACGUUUUGGGUGGUUUUUUUUCACCCAUUUUGUGUCACCAACUGGAAAAAAGUAAUGGAAAAAGGUAAAGAAAUUGCACCAGAGCAUGGAAAAAAAGACUUGUCAGAAGAAACCGAUCAUAGCUGUGGCUUCACAUUCUCCAACAAAAUAAGUCUAGCGUCAACUCGAGUAAACCUAUUAAAUCCCUGGAACUUACUUCACAGAGAGAAGUAUUUUCUGAAGGAGAGGAAGCGAAGGAGAAAAAGAAACUAAAAGAGUGAGCGCACCCCACCCACCGACCCUCAGGCCCCAACUCCCAGAAAUCCCAGCCAUAUUACCAACUGUUAAGAACUGUGGGAGCUGAAGUCCAAAACACCUGGAGGCCCAAGGUUGGAAACCACUGCACUAAAUUUAAAAAAUCAGGAAAAUAAAUGAAAAUCAAAAAGAUUCAACUGUGAUGCAGAAUAGGGGUGAAGGAGCCAAGAUCAGUUCCCACUUGCUUUUGUAUCAGACACCUUUCGUAUUGAUUUGGAUUUGUAAUUUUAUGUCUAUUUUUAAUAGAAUUGUUUUGAUUCUGUCUUAUGAUGUUGUUUAUUAUAUUUAUGUUUAACUUCGUUGUAUGGUGUUUUUGACAAUUGAAGGUUUUUUAUGUUCAUGUUGGAAACCGCCCUGAGUCCUCUCGAGGAGAUGGAGAGGUAUAUAAAUAAAGAUGAUGAUGAUUAUUAUUAUUAUUAUUAUUAUUAUUAUUAUUAUUAUUAUGACAGUAUAAUUAUGACAGUAUUUCUUCUUCUUCUUCUUCUUCUUCUUCUUCUUCUUAUUAUUAUUAUUAUUAUUAUUAUUAUUAUUAUUAUUAUUAUUAUUAUCAUUGGAGGGCCCUUACUGUUAGGAGCUUACCGAAGGAAACCGAAUCUGUGCACAAGUCUAAUAUAGACAUAUUUAUAUCCCAUUGUAAUGGAGACACAGAGCAGCUCACAUCAAUUAAAAACACACACACAACUUUAAAUCUCCAGCUCAUAUAUAUUAACAUAGAUUAAAUUAUGACACUAACAGGAUGCAGUUUUUUCUGGACUAAAAUAAAAUAUAUUUAAAGUGUCUUCAUCAAGGGAAGAUCACUCUAUAAGUAGCAAGCUUUUGUAUUAACUGAGCAGCUUUCUCCUCUGCUUUUAAUCCUUAUUUCCUUUGAUAUCAUCACUUGAGCCAGCGCAGUUAAACAAAACUAAUCCCUGCCUUCUCUAAAAAAGGGGUCAGCAUUUCUGUGUUUCACAGCCAUUCUGAGCAGGUUUGGGCAUGUUGAGGCACGUCUGUGGAUAUUUUUUUUAGAGGUUUGGCUUUCUCCGAAAUAUAUGCACACAAAGAGAGAGAGAGAGAGAGAAGGAGGCAAGGAUAUGCUAACACAAGCCCCUCUGGUGCACGGAAAAGUUUGACAUCAAUUCAUUCUUUCAAAAGAUCAGUUUAUAUACAAAAAGAUUUUUGUUACGAUUUCACAUAGCGAGGCUCAAGCUGCUGCUUUUCUCAGGAAAAAGUUCAAACUCAGGAAAGGAAUGAACCCAUAUAGAUGUUGCUGCCUUGGCCACUUAUUUAAUAAUAAUAAUAAUAAUAAUAAUAAUAAUAAUAAUAAUAAUAAUAAUAAUUGCACAGACAGCAGUACCUAUUUAUCUACCCACAUUGGCAUAUUUUUGAACUGCUAGGUUGGCAGGAGCUAGAGCUAACCUUGUUCCAUGGAUUCAAAUUGCCAAGCUUCGGGUCAGCAGUUCAGUAGCACAAGGGUUUAACCCAUUGCGCCACCAUGACACCAUAUAUGACAAUUAUGAUGAAAUGAUGUGUAACAGACUCUCAUUUUGUUAAUCAAAGAAUGGUUGUGUGACUUUUCUCCAAUUUCAUUUAGGUUUCAGGCCUGGAACAGAAUAUGGCAUUGGCGUGACAGCUGUGAACGAGGACAAGGAAAGUGCUCCGGCUACCAUUAAUGCUGGAACUGGUAAGCAAAGUUCUAAUAAUAAUAGUAAAAAUAGUAAUAAUUAUUCUCAUCAAGAUUCUCAGGAUAUGGAGCAGGAAACUCCCAACACUUACCCUAAUAUAAUAAUAAUAAUAAUCACCCAAAAUGCAGACUGUGCAAGGAAACCAACAAAACCAUUGAUCAUCUCCUCAGCUGCUGUAAGAAAAUUGCACAGACAGACUACAAACAGAGGCACAACUAUGUGGCCCAAAUGAUUCAUAGGAACGUAUGCCUCAAGUACCACCUCCCAGCAGCAAAGAACUGGUGGGAUCACAA
ensembl:lncRNA